AUACGGAGGGGGCUAGCGUUGUUCGGAAUUACUGGGCGUAAAGCGCGUGUAGGCGGAUCGUUAAGUCAGGGGUGAAAGCCCGGGGCUCAACCCCGGAACUGCCCUUGAUACUGGCGAUCUAGAGUCCGGAAGAGGUGGGCGGAAUUCCCGGUGUAGAGGUGAAAUUCGUAGAUAUCGGGAGGAACACCAGUGGCAAAGGCGGCUCACUGGUCCGGCACUGACGCUGAGACGCGAAAGCGUGGGGAGCAAACAGGAUUAGAAACCCUAGUAGUCC
rnacentral:rRNA from 1 species